rnacentral:rRNA from 1 species
AGGGUUCGAUUCUGGCUCAGGAUGAACGCUGGCGGCGUGCUUAACACAUGCAAGUCGAACGGGAUCCAUCAGGCUUUGCUUGGUGGUGAGAGUGGCGAACGGGUGAGUAAUGCGUGACCGACCUGCCCCAUACACCGGAAUAGCUCCUGGAAACGGGUGGUAAUGCCGGAUGCUCCAGUUGAUCGCAUGGUCUUCUGGGAAAGCUUUCGCGGUAUGGGAUGGGGUCGCGUCCUAUCAGCUUGACGGCGGGGUAACGGCCCACCGUGGCUUCGACGGGUAGCCGGCCUGAGAGGGCGACCGGCCACAUUGGGACUGAGAUACGGCCCAGACUCCUACGGGAGGCAGCAGUGGGGAAUAUUGCACAAUGGGCGCAAGCCUGAUGCAGCGACGCCGCGUGAGGGAUGGAGGCCUUCGGGUUGUAAACCUCUUUUAUCGGGGAGCAAGCGAGAGUGAGUUUACCCGUUGAAUAAGCACCGGCUAACUACGUGCCAGCAGCCGCGGUAAUACGUAGGGUGCAAGCGUUAUCCGGAAUUAUUGGGCGUAAAGGGCUCGUAGGCGGUUCGUCGCGUCCGGUGUGAAAGUCCAUCGCUUAACGGUGGAUCCGCGCCGGGUACGGGCGGGCUUGAGUGCGGUAGGGGAGACUGGAAUUCCCGGUGUAACGGUGGAAUGUGUAGAUAUCGGGAAGAACACCAAUGGCGAAGGCAGGUCUCUGGGCCGUUACUGACGCUGAGGAGCGAAAGCGUGGGGAGCGAACAGGAUUAGAUACCCUGGUAGUCCACGCCGUAAACGGUGGAUGCUGGAUGUGGGGCCCGUUCCACGGGUUCCGUGUCGGAGCUAACGCGUUAAGCAUCCCGCCUGGGGAGUACGGCCGCAAGGCUAAAACUCAAAGAAAUUGACGGGGGCCCGCACAAGCGGCGGAGCAUGCGGAUUAAUUCGAUGCAACGCGAAGAACCUUACCUGGGCUUGACAUGUUCCCGACGGUCGUAGAGAUACGGCUUCCCUUCGGGGCGGGUUCACAGGUGGUGCAUGGUCGUCGUCAGCUCGUGUCGUGAGAUGUUGGGUUAAGUCCCGCAACGAGCGCAACCC